GCCGCUUUAGCUCAGUUGGUAGAGCACAUCAUUCGUAAUGAUGGGGCCAGGUGUUCGAGUCACCUAAGCGGCACCA
rnacentral:tRNA from 3 species